GGGGAUAUAGCUCAGUGGUAGAAUGCAUGCUUAGCAUGCAUGAGGUCCUAAGCUCAGUCCUUACUACCUCCG
rnacentral:tRNA from 1 species